GACGAACGCUGGCGGCGUGCUUAACACAUGCAAGUCGAACGAUGAAGCUGGAGCUUGCUCUGGUGGAUUAGUGGCGAACGGGUGAGUAACACGUGAGUAACCUGCCCUGGACUCUGGGAUAACCCCGAGAAAUCGGAGCUAAUACCGGAUAGGACCUCGGAUCGCAUGAUCUGGGGUGGAAAGUUUUUCGGUCUGGGAUGGCCUCGCGGCCUAUCAGCUUGGUGGGGAGGUAAUGGCUCACCAAGGCGUCGACGGGUAGCCGGCCUGAGAGGGUGACCGGCCACACUGGGACUGAGACACGGCCCAGACUCCUACGGGAGGCAGCAGUGGGGAAUAUUGCACAAUGGGCGCAAGCCUGAUGCAGCAACGCCGCGUGCGGGAUGACGGCCUUCGGGUUGUAAACCGCUUUUAGUAAGGAAGAAGCCGCAAGGUGACGGUACUUGCAGAAAAAGGACCGGCUAACUACGUGCCAGCCGCCGCGGUAACAC
rnacentral:rRNA from 1 species